rnacentral:rRNA from 1 species
UACGUAGGGGGCUAGCGUUGUCCGGAAUCAUUGGGCGUAAAGAGCGUGUAGGCGGCCCGGUAAGUCCGCUGUGAAAGUCGGGGGCUCAACCCUCGAAUGCCGGUGGAUACUGUCGGGCUAGAGUGCGGAAGAGGCGAGUGGAAUUCCUAGUGUAGAGGUGAAAUUCGUAGAUAUUAGGAAGAACACCAGUGGCGAAGGCGGCUCACUGGUCCGGUACUGACGCUGAGGUGCGAAAGCGUGGGGAGCAAACAGG